rnacentral:tRNA from 1 species
GGGGCCGGAGCAUGACGAUUAUGCACACGUUUGCGAGACGUAGUUAAGUGGGUUCAACUCCCAUCGGCCCCUCCA